UCCUACGGGAGGCAGCAGCAAGGAAUUUUGUGCAAUGGGCGAAAGCCUGACACAGCGACGCCGCGUGGGGGAUGAAGGCCUUCGGGUUGUAAACCCCUUUUCUCAGGGAAGAAUAAUGACGGUACCUGGGGAAUAAGUCUUGGCUAACUACGUGCCAGCAGCCGCGGUAAUACGUAGGAGGCGAGCGUUAUCCGGAUUUACUGGGCGUAAAGAGGGCGUAGGCAGUUUUUCAAGUCGAUUGUAAAAUCUCCCGGCUUAACUGGGAGGAGCCAGUCGAUACUGUUAGACUAGAGAGCAGCAGGGGGAGGUGGAAUUCCCGGUGUAGUGGUGAAAUGUGUAGAUAUCGGGAGGAACACCAGUGGCGAAGGCGGCCUCCUAGGCUGUUUCUGACGCUGAGGUCCGAAAGCGUGGGGAGCAAACAGGAUUAGAUACCCCGGUAGUCCAAGCCG
rnacentral:rRNA from 1 species